AUGCAAGCCCUUAUCGGUAUGGUUCCUCCGGAGCCUCGGGAGCCAGAAAGGGAACAUAAGAAGAAGGAAAGAGUCGCAGCGGGCGCUACUUUCACGUGGAUAUCAUUGAACUUCGCUCAUUGCCCCGAUGAUGCUAAUGAGGACAUGGUGAAUACAUAUGCUCGUGUCUACAUGUGGUACGUGAUAUCGAGGACAAUGUUUGCUGAUGGCACAGGCAAGAAUGCUCCAUGGAGAUCAACUUCAUUGUCAUCGUCUGAUGCAUAUGCACGGGAAAAAGGGAUGGAAUGGUCCAUUGUCUCUUGCAAAUGA
rnacentral:rRNA from 1 species